GUCAGAGCCAACCAAUUUAGAAAAAGAGAUCCAAUAGCCCGAGGUGGGUCUGGAUUGCUUUGGAAGGCAGGCGACCAUUUUUUUUUUUUCCCACCCACCUACCUUUCACAGCCAUCACUCUAUCGGAAUCUCUAUUCUCAUCUACAAGCUCAUGAAGAAGAAGACCUGUGCUGGGACUCGACGGCCUCAAUCACGAUCCAGACGAGAUCGUACGGAACUAGCAUGAGCGAGUGCAUCACGCCUGUCAAAUGCAGUGCCUGGAACGUCCGUACAUAGCGGAUCUGAGAGGCUAGGAAGUAGCCCCUAGGAUCUUCAACAACUGUUCUUUGGCCUUCAAAACCCUUGCAAAGUCGAGCAGGGUAUUCUUUUUCUUGUUGUAUUCUUGAACACGCAUAGCCCCUGAAAAUGAUGUGACCGGAGGCAUCGGUGAACCCGAGGUCGCCACGGGAAAGGCCACGAUGUUUCUUGGAAACGAAGAGAUCGACUAGGAUCGGGGAGUACGGGUACUCGGGACCGAGAUUGGCCAUGGGUUGGAGGUGAUAUCCCUACUCUACUCUUCUCUUCUCUUUCAAGCUUGGGUCAGACAUAAAAACAAAGAAAUGGGAAACCAGAAUUUAUUCUGUUAGCUGGAAGUUGUUUGUUCGGGACCGUGACUUGAUGCUGCUCCUUCUCUGGGUGGGUCUCUGUUAAAAACGAGGACUAGCAACAACCCAUGAUCUCUGUGGUUUUAGUUUUUUGUUUUUGGUAUUAGUUUUUGAGUUUGUAAACCAAAGCUUGGUGUUAGUCGGCGUUUGGCUCAGUGCCAUGGGGUUCGUCCUUGAUCGAGAUCGGCGCGUUCCUCGAGCCACUCUAGGCAUCGGCAAUAGCAAUGGCUGAAGGUACUUUCUUCUUGCUUGGAACACAGCUGCCUCCCUUUCCCAUUGAGGAAUUCCUUUAAAUGGGGACAGCUCGGGACCAAACCUUUAAAUGGGACAACAACCCAUGGCCUCUAGUGUCUCUCUCUGUCCGUCUGGGGAGAGAAUUAGUAGAGAAUAGCGAGCGAGAGAGGGAGAAUGCGAUGUGGUGUUGACCAGCUGUGGGAUGGAGAUCGGAGGAUCCCAAGGGAGAAAGAGAUAGAUGAAAGAGAAAAUCAAGAACCAGGCGGCGAAGAUUUUUUUUCCUCGCAUAACGUGUUGUGGAUCAAUAAAAAUAGAGAGAGUUUCAAAGACAAAGAGAUAGAGAAUGAGAGAGAUGAGGUUUUCAUAUUGAUCCGUAUAUUUGAACUUAGAAAUACCCAUAUAUAUAGGGGUACAAAAAUUUUAAUUGAUAACUAUGACUUGAUUAACUACGACGGCUAAAUGUGAUCAUAUAAUACAAAUUAGUUUAUAACAUUCAUGAUCUUUUUGUUC